rnacentral:rRNA from 1 species
CAGCCGCCGCGGGAAUACAGAGGGUGCGAGCGUUAAUCGGAUUUACUGGGCGUAAAGCGUGCGUAGGCGGCUUCUUAAGUCGGAUGUGAAAUCCCUGAGCUUAACUUAGGAAUUGCAUUCGAUACUGGGAAGCUAGAGUAUGGGAGAGGAUGGUAGAAUUCCAGGUGUAGCGGUGAAAUGCGUAGAGAUCUGGAGGAAUACCGAUGGCGAAGGCAGCCAUCUGGCCUAAUACUGACGCUGAGGUACGAAAGCAUGGGGAGCAAACAGGAUUAGAUACCCCAGUAGUCCCUGUCUCUUAUAA